rnacentral:rRNA from 1 species
UGCUAGUCGAGUGAUUCAGGCAAAACGAGUCACGGCACACAGCUCAGUAACACGUGGCUAAUCUGCCCUUGAGACAUGAACAACCCCGGGAAACUGGGGCUAACUCGUGAUAGGCGAAGAACUCUGGAAUGAGUCUUCACCCAAAAAGCUUUACGUUAUCCUCGUGAAGUUGCUCAAGGAUGAGGCCGCGGCCGAUCAGGUUGUUGAUGAGGUAAUGGCUCACCAAGCCUUUUACCGGUGCGGGCCGUGGGAGCGGGAGCCCGGAGAUGGGUACUGAGACAAGGACCCAGGCCCUACGGGGCGCAGCAGUCGCGAAAACUUUGCAAUAAGCGCAAGCUUGACAGGGCUAUCCCGAGUGCCAUCCGCUGAGGAAGGCUUUUACCCAGUCUAGAACGCUGGGGGAAUAAGGAGAGGGCAAGUCUGGUGUCAGCCGCCGCGGUAAUACCAGCUCUCCGAGUGGUGUGGAUGUUUAUUGGGCCUAAAGCAUCCGUAGCUGGCUAAGUUAGUCCCUUGUUAAAUCCACCGAAUUGAUCGUUGGAUUGCGGGGGAUACUGCUUGGCUAGGGGACGAGAGAGGCAGACGGUAUUUCCGGGGUAGGGGUGAAAUCCUAUAAUCCCGGGAAGACCACCAGUGGCGAAGGCUGUCUGCUAGAACGCGCCCGACGGUGAGGGAUGAAAGCUGGGGGAGCGAACCGGAUUAGAUACCCGGGUAGUCCCAGCUGUAAACGAUGCAGACUAGGUGUUUGGACGGCCACGUGCCGUUCUAGUGCCGCAGGAAAGCUGUUAAGUCUGCCGCCUGGGGAGUACGAUCGCAAGAUUGAAACUUAA